AUGUAGCGCAAUGGAUAACUCAUUGGACUUAUAAUCCAAAGGACGUGGGUCCGAAUCCCACCUGAGAUC